GACGAACCGUGCGAACGUUGUUCGGAAUCACUGGGCUUAAAGGGCGCGUAGGCGGGCGGUCAAGUCAGAGGUGAAAUCCCACGGCUCAACCGUGGAAGUGCCCCUGAUACUGACUGUCUCGAGGGAGGUAGGGGCGUGCGGAACUUCCGGUGGAGCGGUGAAAUGCGUAGAUAUCGGAAGGAACACCGAUGGCGAAAGCAGCGCGCUGGACCUCUACUGACGCUGAGGCGCGAAAGCCAGGGGAGCGAACGGG
rnacentral:rRNA from 1 species